rnacentral:rRNA from 1 species
UACAGAGGGUGCAAGCGUUAAUCGGAUUUACUGGGCGUAAAGCGCGCGUAGGCGGCUAAUUAAGUCAAAUGUGAAAUCCCCGAGCUUAACUUGGGAAUUGCAUUCGAUACUGGUUAGCUAGAGUGUGGGAGAGGAUGGUAGAAUUCCAGGUGUAGCGGUGAAAUGCGUAGAGAUCUGGAGGAAUACCGAUGGCGAAGGCAGCCAUCUGGCCUAACACUGACGCUGAGGUGCGAAAGCAUGGGGAGC